CCCCCCCCCCCCCCCCCCCCCCCCCCCCCCCCCCCCCCCCCCUAUUGGAUAUUGGGUAUUGGAUAUUGGAUAUUGGAUAUUGGGUAUUGGAUAUUGGGUAUUUAUUGGAUAUUGGAUAUUGGAUAUUGGUUAUUGGAUAUUGGGUAUUUAUUGGAUAUUGGAUAUUGGAAUUGGAUAUUGGGUAUUGGGUAUUUAUUGGAUAUUGGGUAUUUAUUGGAUGUUGGGUAUUUAUUGGAUAUUAGAUAUUUGAUAUUGAAUAUUGGAUAUUGGAUAUUGGGUAUUUAUUGGAUGUUGGAUAUUGGAUAUUGGAUAUUGGAUAUCGGAUAUUGGAUAUUGGGUAUUGGAUAUUGGAUAUUGGAUAUUGGGUAUUGGAUAUUGGAUAUUGCUGCCAGGGGGGGCAGGGGAUGUCCCUGGGCUCUCCCAGGGAAAUUUCGGGCAUUUUUCCUGGAGCUUGGAUUUUCUGGAUCCUGAAUUCAGGUUCCAGGAUACUGCAAGGGGAUAUUGAUGUGGAUAUUCCAGAGAUACAGAUGUGGAUAUUCCAGGGAGGAUAGUGCAGACAUUCCAGGGAUAUUGGUGUGGAUGUUCCAGGGAUAUUGGUGUGGAUGUUCCAGGGACGAGGUGUGGAUGUUCCAGGGAUAUUGGUGUGGAUAUUGGUGUGGAUAUUCCAGGGAUGAGGUGUGGAUGUUCCAGGGAUGAGGUGUGGGUGUUCUCCCGAGGGGGUGGUGUCAAUGUUCUCCCAGGGAGGAUGACGUGGAUGUUUUCCCAGGGAGGUUGUCAUGGAUGUUCUCCCAGGAAUGUUGGUGUGGAUAUUCCAGGGAUAUUGAUGUGGAUAUUCCAGAGAUAUUGAUGUGGAUAUUCCAGAGAUAUUGAUGUGGAUAUUCCAGAGAUAUUGAUGUGGAUAUUCCAGGGGCAUUGGGGCGGAUUUCUCCUGUCUGAGCUCCCCCCAGUGCUGCUCCCAGAGCCGCUGGGGAUUCCAGAGGAGCCCCGGGAUGUUCUGCUGUGCUCCCUGCGGUGUCACCUCCCUUUUUUAACCGGUCUGUUCUCUCUGUCCCCUCCCCAGCCCUGGACAGCCGGACGCUCCCUCGGUGACUGUGACAGUGACAGUGACGGUGUCGGGGCUGUGCGGGCACGGCCUGGCCCUGCUCCUGUCCCCACGCAGCUGCAGCCAGGAGCUCUGUGCUCGGCCAGGAGCCGAUCCCGAGGGGUUGCCCAUGGAAUAGGCUCUUUUCCCGGUGCCUGGGCACAGCGGGAGGCUGGAGUUUGUGCCCUGAUCACGCCCUGCCCCGGAGCCCCCGGCCUCUGCCAUGAAUGAUGCGUCCACCAUGGAUUAUGAACUGCUCUCCCCGUCCCUGGUGGAGCACCCCGCCGGCGCCGCGGGCAUGGACGCCGAGCAGAAAACCGUGUUUGCCUUCGUCAUCUUCCUGCUGGUGUUCCUGGUGAUGCUCAUGGUGCGCUGCUUCCGCAUCCUGCUGGACCCCUACAGCCGCAUGCCCGCCUCCUCCUGGACGGACCACAAGGAGGGCUUGGAGCGGGGCCAGUUCGACUACGCGCUGGUGUGAGGGCGGGGGGCUCGGGGCAGCCCGGGGUGGGGCCGGGACAGCCCCAGGGUGGGCUCAGGGCACCCCAGGGUGGGCUUGGAGCAGCCCCAGGGGGGCUUGGAGCACUCCAGAGUGGCUUGGGGCAGCCCAAGAGUGCCCCCCCCCCCCCCCCCCCCCCCCCCCCCCCCCCCCCCCCCCCCCCCCCCCCCCCCCCCCCCCCCCCCCCCCCCCCCCCCCCCCCCCC
ensembl:lncRNA